CUUAGCCGUUCCAAGAUAUACAAGAAUGAAGAUUUUACAUACAUUUUCUUAAUAUAGAGAGAUUCUAUCUACAUUUGGUUAGUGUAUUCCGAAUACAGCAUCACAUUCUAAAAUCAAGAUCAUUAACUUCUAUUUGCUUCCUUAUCUCAAAAGCGGUGAUAAUGUUGAUAGUUUUCUGAAGAACGAAAAGCAAAUCCAUCAUGACGACGGCGUCAAAACAAAUCAUAGAAAAGAAGAAACAGAAAGAGACUAUCCAAGACAGAAACACAAGUAGGGUUGUAAUAAUAACAGUGUACAAGGAAUCACUGAAACCUCGUUCAACAAGGAAACAAUCACUUGGUUUCAUCAAGAAAACAAAGCCAAAUUCCACACACGGCUAUGAUCGUCGUGCUCAGCUUCUCGCUCACUCUCGACAGCUUCGGAAUCAUGCACUUGCACGCUCCAAAAAGGUUCCAUCACCCAUCAUUCAGUUACAAACAAAAAACAAGCAGAAGAAGAUGGGGUUUUGGUUAACCAGACCGGUUCGAAUCUGCUCGUGUUCGCCGUCGAGAUAUACGGCUCUAUACUCCGCCUCUGGUGGUGGUGGUGGUGGCUGGUGCAGAUAUGAACGAGUGACGUCAGAAGAGAACAAAGAAAGAAACCCUUCCAAGAACAGAAAGUUCGGUCAAGCGCGUCCUUCAUUUUUGAGUAGAGUGGCCAAAAUGUUGAAAGAGCUAUCAUGCAAAGAAAUCUAGUGGGAAACAGAACAUUGUUUGUUUCAUGCGUCUUUUUUUCGCCUUAUCUGAUGAUGAAGCUCAAAUCUACAGCUCAGAGUGGUUCAACAUAGACAUUUGAAGUUUUAAGUGGAAGAUUUGGACUCGUCAAAAAAUGGAGACAAACACAUAACAAUGCAUGUAUUGUGUGGUAUUUGGUGGACAUUGUUAUCAAUAACAAUGGAUAUGAUGCCUAUGCUGAAUAUGAUUUUACAGAUGGAAGCGUAAACAGCCAAUCAGGAAUUUACCGAGCAGGACGCACAAAUUAUAGGAGAAGCGUUUAGUUCAACGCAUCGAUGCUUAUGUAAUUUAGUUAUGGGGUUAACUAAUGCCAUAUAUUGCGCUUAUCUUGUAUUCCUAUCAAAGAACGUAAGAUUAAAGCCAAACUAGUAAUAUUCAUGAGUUACUAUUCAGCUUUUUUUUGUGACUCAAAUAAACUAAAUAAAGAAAAAUAAAACAAAAGAUCUAUUUGAAUAGAAGGACGGUUCUUUUUAAGAUUACUCUUAAACUCCUUCCAAAGUGAAAGAUCUUUGCCAUAAUAUCUGCCACCGUGUUUGCAUCUCUUAUAAUCAAACGAAAGUCAACACGCCAAUUCCAAUGCAUGAUAUCUUUUAUUUUGAGCACCAAUGGAUCAAUAAACCCAAAGCCAUCUUGGUAAUUAGUAACAAGAUUAAAUGCUUCCACAUAAUCCGUCUCACAAAUAACAUCUCGUUAACCUAUAUCCCAAGUUAAGAGAUAUCUUCUCCAAAUAGCAAACAAUUCCCCUUGAAAAAUACUAUUACUCUCAAUCAUUCCGAAAUAUUAUUCAGCUUUUAGUUGCAAGUGAGUUAAUUUAUGCUUUUAAAGUUGUCAAAUAAUAUAAAUUCUUAAAUUCUUUCGAAAUAUAUACUACCUGAAAGAAAAAGAGCGGAGACAAAAUAAAUGAAUCAGAUUAAAUUAGAGUUUAAAAAGUAAAUAAAUUUACAUUUCUUUUCCUCCAUUAUUCUAAUUUCUAAACACUAACAACAUCAAAUCAUUUUCAUCGCUGUUACACUUGAAAGACGAUCUGACAAUCUAAUACAACCAAGUGCCGCAUGCACUCAUCGAUAUCACAAGAACUUAACAAAUGAACAUACACUUACCAUUUACGUAUCAGUCAUGUUCUCCGUGAUAAUGGUGACAAACACUCCAUGCCAUGCUGACACGGUUAGAAAGAUCUGCCAUGUUAAGCCACAUUGCCAGCAAGAAUAGUAGGUCCAAGAAUCCAUCGAAGGAAUUAUUUAUGCAAUAAUUCAAACUGUACAGUAAACAUCAACUGAAGAAUAAAGCAUCAUUUUUGAAAACGCAUUAUUUGGGGCAUCUCCUCGUUGCCCCUAAACACCCUGUUCAGUUGACCACUUUCUGUGAUAGAAAGACAGCCAGCCAGUCCAAACCUAUGUGAUCUAAAAUAAUAAUGACCUUGAUAUGCUAAACCUAGAAAUCAAGGAGGCAGUGAGCGCUAUGAAAUUGCAUUGCCUUUUAAAACAAUAAAUUCGAAAAGCUAAAAGAA